CAAGCAUUUAGAAAGUUUAUUCUGCUCUUUGGCCAAGUAUUGGUUAAAAGGAAAGCAGUUGAAACUGUAACCAAAGAAGGCAUAUGCUUCCAGAAAUAUCUCAAGAAAAAAUAUUGCAAGUAACAGUAGUAGCUGUUGGAUUGGGCUCUAAAGUGAAGGUUGAAGAGAUUCAACCAGUUAGCAUGAAAGUUGGUGAUAAAGUUCUUCUCCAACUUUGGUGCCAGAAUAUGUAGUGAAAGUUGGAGAUAAAGUUCUUCUCCCAGAAUAUGCAGGCACCAAAGUGGUGCUAGGUGACAGGAAUUAUUUCUUAUUUAGAGAUGGUGACAUUCUUGGGAAGUACGUAGACUA
rnacentral:lncRNA from 1 species